rnacentral:rRNA from 1 species
CCUACGGGAGGCAGCAGUGAGGAAGAUUGGGCAAGGGCCGGAAGGCGGAACCAGCCAAGGAGAGUGAGGGACGACGGCCCGAUGGGUGGUAAAACUCUUUUAUAAGGGAAGAACAAAUGCUACGUGUAGCAUGAUGCCUGUACCUUAUGAAUAAGCAUCGGCUAACUCCGUGCCAGCAGCCGCGGUAAUACGGAGGAUGCGUGCGUUAUCCGGAUUUAUUGGGUUUAAAGGGUGCGUAGGCGGUUUUUUAAGUUGGUGGUUAAACGUCGGGGCUUCACCUUGAUUUGCCAUUCAUACUGUCAGCCUCGAGUUCAGACGAGGUAGGCGGCAUGCGUUCCGUAGCGGUGACAUGCUUAGAUAUUACU